rnacentral:rRNA from 1 species
GACGAACGCUGGCGGCGUGCUUAACACAUGCAAGUCGAACGGAAAGGCCCUGCUUUUGUGGGGUGCUCGAGUGGCGAACGGGUGAGUAACACGUGAGUAACCUGCCCUUGACUUUGGGAUAACUUCAGGAAACUGGGGCUAAUACCGGAUAGGAGCUCCUGCUGCAUGGUGGGGGUUGGAAAGUUUCGGCGGUUGGGGAUGGACUCGCGGCUUAUCAGCUUGUUGGUUGGGUAGUGGCUUACCAAGGCUUUGACGGGUAGCCGGCCUGAGAGGGUGACCGGCCACAUUGGGCCUGAGAUACGGCCCAGACUCCUACGGGAGGCAGCAGUGGGGAAUAUUGCCCAAUGGGCGGAAGCCUGAUGCAGCAACGCCGCGUGCGGGAUGACGGCCUUCGGGUUGUAAACCGCUUUCGCCUGUGACGAAGCGUGAGUGACGGUAAUGGGUAAAGAAGCACCGGCUAACUACGUG